GGGUGAACGUGACAGCUGAAACUUACGAGUAUUGAAAUGUUUGGCCAAAGAAGAAACUCUGAGAGUGACGAGGCUUCUGGGUGGGACAGCCCUUCAGAAGUCAUCCAGGAUGUUCCAAAGAUAGAGGGGAGCUCUGCAGAUGAAAGGCCUGUCAGAGAUACAACGGGAAAAAGGCCUACACCUGCUGAUAGAAGUAUGAAAUCACCGAGGCAGUCUGAGCCCCAAAAGUCAAAAAGACAUGGAGAGGGAAGAGGGAAAAAAGCUGGAAAGGAAAAGCCCAACGAUCCUUUGGGAGGAUUCACUUUCACUGAUCGUGGUGGUGACAGUGAAGAGGAGAGUGUGUCCGUCUCAAUUUCCCAGUCACAGCCUAACAAGUCAAAGAAAAGAACCAAAAGAAAUCAAAAGGAAGAAACUCCCCCUUAUGAUUUCAAAGGAGCUCUAACAGUUCCCAGGGAUCGUGAGCAGCCUGCUUCCAGACCUCCAGGUAAAGAUCGCAAAGGAAAUACAUAUGAUCCUGAACCGAGUCCCAGAGCCCAACAGCUGCAAGUGGGGACACAGUAGCUCUGGAUUCAUGGGAUGAUUCAGAGGCAGAGGAAAGGGUGUUAGCAGAAUUGCGCCAGGAUUUGAAGAAAGGCCAAACCACUAUAGAUGUAGAACCAGAGGACCAAAAUCAAAAGUCUGGAAGUUCUUUAAAGAGCUUCAAAAACCUUGGAAGUAAACUCAGUCAGAAAUUCAAGAAAAGUCCAAAACAUC
rnacentral:misc_RNA from 1 species